GUGUCAGCAGCCGCGGUAAUACGUAGGGGGCAAGCGUUGUCCGGAUUUAUUGGGCGUAAAGAGCUCGUAGGUGGUUCGGUAAGUCGGAUGUGAAAUCUCCAGGCUCAACCUGGAGGGGUCAUUCGAUACUGCCGUGACUAGAGUUCGGUAGGGGAGUGUGGAAUUCCUGGUGGAGCGGUGAAAUGCGCAGAUAUCAGGAGGAACACCCGUAGCGAAGGCGGCACUCUGGGCCGAUACUGACACUGAGGAGCGAAAGCGUGGGGAGCGAACAGGAUUAGAUACCCUGGUAGUCCACGCCGUAAACGUUGGGCACUAGGUGUGGGACUCUAUCGACGGGUUCCGUGCCGUAGCUAACGCAUUAAGUGCCCCGCCUGGGGAGUACGGCCGCAAGGCUAAA
rnacentral:rRNA from 1 species